UACGUAGGGCGCAAGCGUUGUUCGGAUUCACUGGGCGUAAAGGGUGCGUAGGUGGUGAGGUAAGUCGGAUGUGAAAUCUCCGAGCUCAACUCGGAAAUGGCAUUGGAAACUACCUUGCUCGAGGGUUGGAGGGGGGACUGGAAUACUUGGUGUAGCAGUGAAAUGCGUAGAUAUCAAGUUGAACACCAGUGGCGAAGGCGAGUCCCUGGACAACUCCUGACACUGAGGCACGAAAGCUAGGGGAGCAAACAGG
rnacentral:rRNA from 1 species